AUCACGAAGCAAUGGCAAUCGUUGGAGAUUAUGCAUCUUCCGUGGCUUAUGCUGCAGAGGAGAGUAUUCGAUCUCAUGCUCCAGUUCGAGACAUUGGGUCGGUAGAUAUUGAUUUUGGGAUCAAAGAAUUCAUUAUUCUGCGUGUUGGGCAAACAUUUUGAAUCGGUGACUAUAAGAACGAUAUGGUUCUUAGGCACGUCAUCGACGUUAAAUGCCAAGCUUUGUACAGAGUCUAAAAGUGCAGGUUACACGAUCACUACAAAGUGAUCAAGAAGGAGGUGUCUGACCCCCAAAACCAUCCAUUAUAUCUCUGUAAUCCAGAGGACUGAAAAUUCAUGAUUAAGAAAGUAUGGCGGAAAAAAGCUUUUAAGGCAAUCUUUGUCCUUUUUUAGUAUAUAAUAGACAUUACUAUAGAUGCAUAAAUUAGUAGAAAGAUGUGGAAGCAACAAAACAUGUAAGAUCCUAUUGGCUUGUUCUUUGGUUGGGAAGUACUCGACAAGUUUGUUUUAUGGUUUUUCGCAGAAGAAGUCUAAGAGAGGGAAAAAUGCAUGAAAAUCAUUGAAAUAUAACCAUACUAGCGGCUCCCAAUCAUUUGUAGCAUGAGCAUCCAAGUUUGUAAAAAAAGAAAAUAGAGAGCAGUCUUUUCCAGAGAGGUUCAAGGACACACACAUACAUCAUCGACAUGGAGAGGAAGUAUGGAUAAAUGACAAGGCUUAGGAAGUUCAUGCUGAGAUUGCUAAAAAGAUAGCCGAGUAGUCACAACUCGGUGUCACAAAUCCACAAUCUGAGGUACAAGUUUCCAUUGAUGUGCUUGGGGAGAGAUCAAGCUACUUAAAGGGAUAUUUAUGGAAUUCGAAAGGGCACAUAUGCAACACAGUCUCAAGUAGUCCCAAAUUCAGAGGUAGUUACUCUUAAAGAAGUCGUGGCUGAUCAAGCAAAACUCCUAGCUGAUUAUGCUAAAAAAUUUGAAACCAUGAUGCUCUUCGUGGCUAUGAAGAAUGGAGUUGAUCCAGCUACCAUUCUGGGGUUGAUUUCAAGUAAUGAAAAUGGAGAAGACACUUCGAUUGGACAAGAAGAUGGAAUUUUGACUUAAAUGGAGGUUGAACGUGCCGAUUUUAGAUGUUUUGAAUGGUUUUUGGAUAUUUCGUUUGAUGCAACUAUGGUUGGUUAUUACUGUUGAAAAUGUUUGGAUGCAUAGACAUCUAGAUUAGUUUUUCGAUACAAGGCUGGUGGAGUAAAUUUGUGGAGACAUGGCAGGUGGAGUAAACUAGUUUUUGGAUACAUGGUAGGUGGAGUAAUUUUUUGGUUGUAUUUUGGAUGUUUGGAUAAGUAAGGGAUAAUCCUUUGGCUGUAAUAUUCUAGAUGUUUGGAUAAUCGAUUUUUGGAUUGGAUAUAUUUAAGGUAUUAGAAUGACCUAUCUAU